CAUGCAUGUGUAAGUAUGAACCGCUCAUACGGUGAAACUGCGAAUGGCUCAUUAAAUCAGUUAUAGUUUAUUUGAUGGUACUACUCCUAUUCGGAUAACCGUAGGAAAACUAGAGCUAAUACGUGCGCACAUCCCGACUUCUGGAAGGGACGUAUUUAUUAGAUAGAAGACCGACCGGGUUCUCCCGAGCUGCGGUGAAUCAUGAUAACUUCACGAAUCGCGUGGCCUCGUGCCGGCGAUGUUUCAUUCAAAUUUCUGCCCUAUCAACUUUCGACGGUAGGGUAGUGGCCUACCGUGGUGGUAACGGGUGACGGAGGAUUAGGGUUCGAUUCCGGAGAGGGAGCCUGAGAAACGGCUACCACAUCCAAGGAAGGCAGCAGGCGCGCAAAUUACCCAAAUCCCAACUCGGGGAGGUAGUGACAAGAAAUAACGAUGCUCCGGCCUCACGGUCGGGUAAUCGGAAUGAGAACAAUUUAAAUCCCUUAUCGAGGAUCAAUUGGAGGGCAAGUCUGGUGCCAGCAGCCGCGGUAAUUCCAGCUCCGAUAGCGUAUAUUAAAGUUGUUGCGGUUAAAAAGCUCGUAGUUGGAUCUGUGUUCCACUCUGUCGGUUCGUUGCCCGUCAGCGUUUAACUGGCAUGUAAGUGGAACGUCCUGCCGGUUGGUAGGGUGCAGCAUCCGCUGUGCUUCUACCAGUCCAAUCCUGUCGCGGUGCUCUUUAUUGAGUGUUGAGGCAGGCCGGCACGUUUACUUUGAACAAAUUUGAGUGCUUAAAGCAGGCUGUUACGCCUGAAAACUGUUUGCAUGGAAUAAUGGAAUAGGACCUCGGUUCUAUUUUGUUGGUUUUCGGAGCCCGAGGUAAUGAUUAAUAGGGACAGGCGGGGGCAUUAGUAUUGCGACGUUAGAGGUGAAAUUCUUGGAUCGUCGCAAGACUGACCUAAGCGAAAGCAUUUGCCAAGGAUGCUUCCAUUAAUCAAGAACGAAAGUUAGAGGUUCGAAGGCGAUCAGAUACCGCCCUAGUUCUAACCAUAAACGAUGCCAGCCAGCGAUCCGUCGCAGUUCCUCCGAUGACUCGACGGGCAGCUUCCGGGAAACUAAAGCUUUUAGGUUCCGGGGGAAGUAUGGUUGCAAAGCUGAA
rnacentral:rRNA from 1 species